UUUAUAUAAGGUCUGGUCUGCUCACUGAUUUUUAAAGAGCCGCAGUAUUUUGACUGUGCGAAGGUAGCAUAAUAAUUAGUUUUUUAAUUGGAAACUGGUAUGAAUGGUUGGACGAGAAAAUAACUGUCUCUUUUUAAUUAAGAUGAAUUUUACUUUUAAGUUAAAAGGCUUAAAUUUUUUUAAAAGACGAGAAGACCCUAUAGAGUUUUAUUUUUGAAAUUUUUAUUAAUUUUAGGUAUUUAAUUUUUUAUGAAUUUUUAAAAUUUAAUUGGGGUGAUUGAAAAAUUGAUUAAACUUUUUUUUUAUUAAUACAAAUUUAUUUGAUAAUUUGAUCCACUUUUUGUGAUUAUAAGAUUAAAUUACCUUAGGGAUAACAGCGUAAUCUUUCUUGAGAGUCCUUAUCGAAAGAAGGGGUUGCG
rnacentral:rRNA from 1 species